rnacentral:rRNA from 1 species
AGUGAACGCUGGCGGUAGGCCUAACACAUGCAAGUCGAACGGCAGCACAGUAAGAGCUUGCUCUUACGGGUGGCGAGUGGCGGACGGGUGAGGAAUACAUCGGAAUCUACUUUUUCGUGGGGGAUAACGUAGGGAAACUUACGCUAAUACCGCAUACGACCUACGGGUGAAAGCAGGGGAUCUUCGGACCUUGCGCGAUUGAAUGAGCCGAUGUCGGAUUAGCUAGUUGGCGGGGUAAAGGCCCACCAAGGCGACGAUCCGUAGCUGGUCUGAGAGGAUGAUCAGCCACACUGGAACUGAGACACGGUCCAGACUCCUACGGGAGGCAGCAGUGGGGAUUAUUGGACAAUGGGCGCAAGCCUGAUCCAGCCAUACCGCGUGGGUGAAGAAGGCCUUCGGGUUGUAAAGCCCUUUUGUUGGGAAAGAAAAGCAGCAGGUUAAUACCCCGCUGUUCUGACGGUACCCAAAGAAUAAGCACCGGCUAACUUCGU